CUAUAGCUCAGUUGGUAGAGCAUGAGACUCAAUCUCAGGGUUUGGGGUUCGAGCCCCAAGUUGGGGG